GACGAACGCUGGCGGCGUGCUUAACACAUGCAAGUCGAACGGAAAGGCCCUGCUUUUGUGGGGUGCUCGAGUGGCGAACGGGUGAGGAACACGUGAGUAACCUGCCCUUGAUUUUGGGAUAACUUCAGGUAACUGGGGCUAAUACCGGAUAGGAGCUCCUGCUGCGUGGUGGGGGUUGGAAAGUUUCGGCGGUUGCGGAUGGAUUGGCGGCUUAUGAGCUUGUUGGUGGGGGAGUGGCUUACCAAGGCUUUGGCGGGUAGCCGGCCUGAGAGGGUGACCGGCCACAUUGGGACUGAGAGACGGACCAGACUGCUACGGGAGGCAGCAGUGGGGAAUAUUGCACAAUGGGCGGAAGCCGGAUGCAGCAACGCCGCGUGCGGGAUGACGGCCUUCGGGUUGUAAACCGCUUUCGCCUGUGACGAAGCGUGAGUGACGGUAAUGGGUAAAGAAGCACCGGCUAACUACGUG
rnacentral:rRNA from 1 species